AAGGGAGACCUAAUUCCGGUAGGAGACGAAAAAAAAGUAGUCCCAACCAAGAAUCAAUCCCAAAAGGUCGGAACGAGGUAUGAGGCUUUCAAACUAGGUUCUGGGUUCAUAAAAGACCUGAAUCAGGAACAAGGGCUAUUAGCUCAGGUGGUUAGAGCGCACCCCUGAUAAGGGUGAGGUCCCUGGUUCGAGUCCAGGAUGGCCCACCUGCACAGGUGGCAAAAGCAAGAGAAGCUCCGAAUCAGCACCUUAUCUUAUAUACAUAUAUAAGAGAGAAUGCUGGCUCUGAGUACAGAGUCCAGAGGAACCUUGAAAACUGCAUAGAGCUAGGUGAAAAAGCCAAAAAAGAAGACCGCAA
rnacentral:tRNA from 1 species